rnacentral:rRNA from 1 species
UACGUAGGGUGCAAGCGUUAAUCGGAAUUACUGGGCGUAAAGAGCUCGUAGGCGGUGUGUCGCGUCGGUCGUGAAAACUUGGGGCUUAACUCUGAGCUUGCGGUCGAUACGGGCAUCACUGGAGUUCGGCAGGGAGACUGGAAUUCCUGGUGUAGCGGUGAAAUGACGCAGAUAUCAGGAGGAACACCCGUAGCGGAAGGCGGCACUCUGGGCCGGAACUGACGCUGGAGGAGCGAAAGCCGUGGGGAGCGAACAGGA